rnacentral:rRNA from 1 species
GUCUGAAAGCAANGAACGUGACCGUAACCUCUUGUUGCCUUCUCUUCUCUUCGGAGAAUGCUGUUUUAUACCUUCACGGGUGAAUUGCAGUAUACGGAGGCUUAAUACUCAGUAACUAGAGGGACCGCUGUUACUUUCUUUAAACCAGAGGAAGGUUGCGGCAAUAACAGGUCUGUGAUGCCCUUAGAUGUUCCGGGCUGCACACGUGAUACAUUGAUUACUUCAGUGAGUAUCUACGUAUUACUGCGCAGCAGUAUACGCGUGUUGUUUAUUGCUUCGGCAAUUUACUUUGCGCUAUACGCCGCCUUAACCUACUUCGAAAGUAUGUGGGUAACCAAUUAGAAGUAGUGAUUUCCCUCUUUAUAAGCACACUUAUAUGGAGCAUCAUCACCCGGCAUGCCUUGUGCAUGUUUUGUGUGUGUUGUUUGUCUACAUGUGCUUUUGUCAAUUCAUAGUGGGGACAGACCAUUGUUAAUUGUUGGUCUCGGUCUUAACUAGGAAUGCCUUGUACGAGUUUUUGGUUCAACAAACCACUCGGAAUACGUCCCUGCCCUUUGUACACACCGCCCGUCGCUCUUACCGAUGGAUUAUAUUAUGAGUUGGCAGGAGCCUCCAGGAAAUGCCUGCGAAUAA